AUACGGAGGGUGCGAGCGUUAAUCGGAAUUACUGGGCGUAAAGGGUCCGUAGGCGGUCUGCUUAGUCUGAUAUGAAAGCCCCGGGCUUAACCUGGGAAUGGCAUUGGAUACUGGCGGACUAGAGUCUGGUAGAGGGUGGUGGAAUUCCCGGUGUAGCGGUGAGAUGCGUAGAUAUCGGGAGGAACACCAGUGGCGAAGGCGGCCACCUGGACCAAGACUGACGCUGAGGGACGAAAGCGUGGGGAGCAAACAGGAUUAGAAACCCUGUAGUCC
rnacentral:rRNA from 1 species